rnacentral:lncRNA from 1 species
UGACUCUUUCAAGUAUGUUUACUGGGAACUCAUUCUUUUAUAAUAUUCAUAAACCAUAGAUUUAAAAACUAUGAAAUACGCAUUUGUUAUAUUGAUAGAAUUAGCCUUUGGUUGAUUAUUGGAUAACGUGAAAGACAAAUAAAGCCACUCACCCAAAACAUGUAUGUGAUUGCAAAUGAGACAAGUAUCGAUACAUAUAAAACAUCAAAGAUGUGAAUAUAUACAGGAUACCGUACGGCCUUUACAAUUGGGGAAAACCUAUACUUCCUAGUAAGGUUACAAAAAGACUGCUACCAGUUUGAAGAAUCUUAAUCGUAUUUGAUAGUUUUAUAAUUAAUAAGAAAAAAGUGUAUGUUACAAGGGG